rnacentral:rRNA from 1 species
AAAGAAACCAACAGGGAUUGCCCUAGUACGGCGAGUGAAGCGGCAACAGCUCAAAUUUGAAAUCUGGCCCUCGGGUCCGAGUUGUAAUUUGUAGAGGAUGCUUUUGGUGAGGUGCCUUCCGAGUUCCCUGGAACGGGACGCCAUAGAGGGUGAGAGCCCCGUCUGGUUGGACACCGAGCCUCUGUAAAGCUCCUUCGACGAGUCGAGUAGUUUGGGAAUGCUGCUCUAAAUGGGAGGUAUAUGUCUUCUAAAGCUAAAUACCGGCCAGAGACCGAUAGCGCACAAGUAGAGUGAUCGAAAGAUGAAAAGCACUUUGAAAAGAGAGUUAAAAAGUACGUGAAAUUGUUGAAAGGGAAGCGCUUAUGACCAGACUUGGGCUUGGUUGAUCAUCCUGGGUUCUCCCUGGUGCACUCUUCCAGUUCAGGCCAGCAUCAGUUCGCUGCGGGGGAUAAAAGUUUUGGGAAUGUGGCUCCUUCGGGAGUGUUAUAGCCCAUUUCAUAAUACCCUGCUCCGGACUGAGGUUCGCGCAUCUGCAAGGAUGCUGGCGUAAUGGUCAUCAGCGACCCGUCUUGAAACACGGACCAAGGAGUCGUCUUCGUAUGCGAGUGUUCGGGUGUUAAACCCCUACGCGUAAUGAAAGUGAACGCAGGUGAGAGCUUCGGCGCAUCAUCGACCGAUCCUGAUGUUCUCGGAUGGAUUUGAGUAAGAGCAUACGGGGCCGGACCCGAAAGAAGGUGAACUAUGCCUGUAUAGGGUGAAGCCAGAGGAAACUCUGGUGGAGGCUCGCAGCGGUUCUGACGUGCAAAUCGAUCGUCAAAUAUGGGCAUGGGGCGAAAGACUAAUCGAACCUUCUAGUAGCUGGUUUCCGCCGAAGUUUCCCUCAGGA